CAAAAACAUGUCUUUUUGAUUUUGAUUUAAAGUCUAAUCUGCCCACUGAGUAAUUUAAAUGGCCGCGGUAUUUUGACCGUGCAAAGGUAGCAUAAUCAUUAGUUUUUUAAUUGAAAGCUUGUAUGAAUGAUUGAAUAAAAUAUUUAUUGUCUCAUAAUUAUUUAAAUUAAAAUUUAAUUUUUAAAUUAAAAAGUUUAAAUUUUAUUAGAGGACGAGAAGACCCUAUAGAUUUUUAUAAUUGAAUUUUUAAUUUUAAUUUAAUUUAUUGAUUAAAUUAAUUUUUAAUUAUUUUGUUGGGGUGACAUUAAAAUUAAAUUAACUUUUAAUUUAAUUAAACAUUAAUUUAUGAAAUUUAAUAUAUAAAAGUAAAAAUUUAUUAUUAGUUUUGAUCCUAAAUUUUAGAUUAUUAGAUUAAAAUACCUUA
rnacentral:rRNA from 2 species